AACUGCAGUCGAGCGGACGAUGGGAGCUUGCUCCCUGAUGUUUCGGCGGAGGGUGAGUAACACGUGGGUAACCUGCCUGUGAGACUGGGAUAACUCCGGGAAACCGGGGCUAAUACCGGAUGCUUGUUUGAACCGGAUGGUUCAAACAUAAAAGGUGGCUUCGGCUACCACUUACGGAUGGACCCGCGGCGCAUUAGCUAGUUGGUGAGGUAAUGGCUCACCAAGGCAACAAUGCGUAGCCGACCUGAUAGGGUGAUCGGCCACACUGGGACUGAUACACGGCCCAGACUCCUACGGGAGGCAGCAGUAGGGAAUCUUCCGCAAUGGACGAAAGUCUGACGGAGCAACGCCCCGUGAGUGAUGAAGGUUUUCGGAUCGUAAAGCUCUGUUGUUAGGGAAGAACCAGUACCGUUCGAAUAGGGCGGUACCUUGACGGUACCUAACCAUAAAGCCACUGCUAACUACGUGCCCGCAUCCGCGGUUAUACGUAGGUGGCAAGCGUUGUCCGGAAUUAUUGGGCGUUAAGGGCUCGCAUGCGGUUUCUUAAAUAUGAUGUGAAAACUCCCAGCUCAACCGGGGAGGGUCAUUGGAAACUGAGGAACUUGAGUGCAGAAGAGGAGAGUGGAAUUCCACGUGUAGCGGUGAAAUGCGUAGAGAUGUGGAAGAACACCAGUGGCUAACGCGACUCUCUGGUCUGUAACUGACGCUGUGAGCGAAAGCGUGGGAGCGAUAGGAUUAGAUACCCUGGUAGUCCACGCCUAACGAUGAGUGCUACUGUUAAGGGGUUUCGCCCUUAUUGCUGCAGCUACGCAUAGCACUCCGCCUGGGGAGUACCGUCGCACACUG
rnacentral:rRNA from 1 species